UUCCAAAUCAGCUGUUGGUGGCGUUGCUAUAGUGAUUACUGCAGCUCGCGUCAGAACAGAAGAACAGAAGAACCAGAGCUUGGCUCGCGGAUGCUAUCAGAAGCGUUAUCAUUUACCUCGCAUUUGAAAACCCAUAUUUUCUGCAUGAAAACAUUUUGUUAUAAUGUAUUUUUAGUUUUAUUACAUAACCAGCCUAUUAUUAAGGCGAUACUCAUUUAGGUAACUGCUGGUGCCGUGGUGUGGGAAAUGAUGCUUGAGGAGAAGUAUAAAAUGGUCUGCCGUUAACAAUUCUAGAUGAUGAUGACACCUAGCCGGAGAAGCCAGACCAUUCAUUACGAAGUAAUUAAAGCAGUCUGGUAAAAACCAGGCCAGAUGAAAGCACCCGAUACAGACGAGGACUGCAGUUGACGUGAGACCGAAGGCUGAAAGUUGCUGUCUUCAGUGGACAAGCCAGAUGUGGCACGGCGCCCCUGCACUGUGGAGGUCACACACAGCCAACGGAACCACAUGACCAACAUGGAAGAGACAUUGCCAAAUAGAUGGACCUGCGCCUAGAUGUCAUCAUACAGCAGCAGUUGCUCAUCCUGGACCAGCUUCCAAAAGUUGUUUUUACCUGAAUGAUGUGAUAUUUGAACUUGUGUUAUUAAAAAUCAAUUUGCUUUUUA